rnacentral:rRNA from 1 species
UGGGGAAUAUUGGGCAAUGGGCGGAAGCCUGACCCAGCGACGCCGCGUGGGGGAAGAAGUCUUUCGGGAUGUAAACCCUUGUUGUACGGGACGAAGGAAGUGACGGUACCGUACGAGGAAGCCCCGGCAAACUACGUGCCAGCAGCCGCGGUAAUACGUAGGGGGCGAGCGUUGUCCGGAAUCACUGGGCGUAAAGCGCACGGAGGCGGGCUGUCAAGUCGGGCGUUAAAGGCACGGGCGCAACCUGUGCAUGUCGGUCGAUACUGGCG